UUCCGUCUCCUUUCCACUUCAAGCCGGCUCGACAAGAUGAAAGACGAUGUUCACGUACGCAAUAUAAUAGAGGAAGUACAACUCUGGCAGGAACAAGAACUGGGUGUUGCUAGUUGCUUUUUUAAUCUUCUGCCGUCUUCACACAUCAGGUCGACAUUAAUGACAUCUUGAAUCGACCAAGAGUGAUUCGAUACAUAAGCGGAGGAAGUGCCAAUGUGUUGCGUUGUGCCAAGCGAAAUAAUCUUAAUGU